rnacentral:rRNA from 1 species
UACAGAGGUCUCAAGCGUUGUUCGGAUUCAUUGGGCGUAAAGGGUGCGUAGGUGGCGCCGUAAGUCAGGUGUGAAAUUUCGGAGCUUAACUCCGAAACUGCAUUUGAUACUGCGGUGCUUGAGGACUGGAGAGGGUAGUGGAAUUCCCGGUGUAGUGGUGAAAUGCGUAGAUAUCGGGAGGAACACCGGUGGCGAAGGCGGGUCUCUGGGCAUUUCCUGACGCUGAGGCGCGAAAGCGUGGGGAGCAAACGGG